GACGAACGCUGGCGGCGUGCCUAAUACAUGCAAGUCGAGCGAAGUUUUUCUGGUGCUUGCACCGGAAAAACUUAGCGGCGAACGGGUGAGUAACACGUAAAGAACCUGCCUCAUAGACUGGGACAACUAUUGGAAACGAUAGCUAAUACCGGAUAACAGCAUUAACUGCAUGGUUGAUGUUUGAAAGUUGGUUUUGCUAACACUAUGAGAUGGCUUUGCGGUGCAUUAGCUAGUUGGUGGGGUAAAGGCCUACCAAGGCGACGAUGCAUAGCCGACCUGAGAGGGUGAUCGGCCACACUGGGACUGAGACACGGCCCAGACUCCUACGGGAGGCAGCAGUAGGGAAUCUUCCGCAAUGGGCGAAAGCCUGACGGAGCAACGCCGCGUGAGUGAAGAAGGAUUUCGGUUCGUAAAGCUCUGUUGUUAGGGAAGAAUGAUUGUGUAGUAACUAUACACAGUAGAGACG
rnacentral:rRNA from 1 species